UCCUUCAAGUCGAUCAACCCCUGAUUGGUCAUGAUAGUGUUUCUGAAUUGAGCAGCUUCCAUAGUCUGCGUUCCUCAGAGAGUCCUGAUAGGCGGAAUCAGCAAGUUUAUAUGCAUGCACCCCCAAGCUUACCAGCUAUACUCAGGGUCAUGAGUGACUGGAGCUCAGGCUCAUCAGAUGCAAAUAGGAAGAAGAACCAGAGAUGGCAUUCUGUUUGAUAUGAGGUUUUAGCAUGGCUACCUUAAUCGGGCGCUUGAGCAUUCGAAGCAUUUCUUCCUACUGGGUAACCAUUCACCUCACCUGGGUCGAGUGCAGCGCAGUGUGGAUAAAUUUCUCACUGAAGGAAAACAUGCAUUACAUCUAAUAUCCAUUUGGCCUAACUCCUGGACCAACUGUUUGUAGAACUAGUGAAUAGAAAACUCUAUAAGAUAUUAAUCUGGAAGUUCAGGUGCUAUGGGUAUUACAAUGCUUACUUGGUACUGCUAUCCUCUGGCAAGGCAUCAUUCUGCAUUUGCUGUCUCAGAUCCAGAAGAGAAAUGAGGAUUAGGGAUUGGCUUACGGAUUGAUGACAACUGUCAGGUACUAGUACUGAAACCCUAGCAUUUGAUUUGCUGAAAGCAUGAGUUUCAACAAAUUCACACAGAGAUAGAGAAUUGUAAAGGUUAGGGGAUCAUUUUAACGAAUAUCAAGGAAACAUUGAAUUUAAUUUUCUUUCUGUAGAAUGCAAUGUUAUGAGACAUUUUGAGAAGUUUUCAUGAGAUUGUGUACCCCUGUUUAGAAUGUGAAGUAUAUAAACAAAUCCUUGCCAAAGAGGUAUUUUUGCCAGGCUGAGCUUUCCACCCUAAUAGAUUAUUAUUAUUUUUUUUUUUAGUAAACAUGUAUUUAAACAGUUUAGUAGUCUACAUAUAAAAUGGUUGUGUCAUUUCUAUAAUUUUGAAUUUUCAAAAUUUUGAUCACGGGUUUGACAGAUAAAGAGAGCACGGGUAAGAUAAUUUGUGUAAGUGCCUCAUAUUUAUAUAAGAAAUAAUUUUUGUGGUAAAGUUGUGUUUUUGUAUAUCUUACUUUGGAAGGUUUGUAUCAAUUUUUAUAUUAAGUCAAUGAAUAGAUAGUGAAUGGUUUAAGCUUUAAUGCAAUCACAAUCCUAAUAGAUUUGUGUACUAUUUUGUGAAAUGAAAUUUUAGGUUACAAAGACUAGUUUUAAAUGUAUUUUUUGGUCUGAUAUAAAAGGGAU